rnacentral:rRNA from 1 species
GACGAACGCUGGCGGCGUGCCUAAUACAUGCAAGUAGAACGCACAGUUUAUACCGUAGCUUGCUACACCAUGAACUGUGAGUUGCGCACGGGUGAGUAUCGCGUAGGUAACCUGCCUGGUAGCGGGGGAUCACUAUUGGAAACGAUAGCUAAUAUCGCAUACUAUUGAUUAUUGCAUGAUAAUUGAUUGAAAGAUGCUAUUGCAACGCUAACCGAUGGACCUGCGCUGUAUUAGCUAGUAGGUGAGGUAACGGCCCAUCUAGGUGACGAUACUUAGCCGACCUGAGAGGGUGAUCUGCCUCGCUGGGAUUGGGACACGACCCAGACUCCUGCGAGAGGCAGCAGUAGGGAAUCUUCGGCGAAGGACGAAAGUCUGACCAAUCAACACCGCGUGAGUGAAGAAGGUUUUCGUGUCGUAAAGCUCUGGUGUAAGAGAAGAUCGGGUAUGAGAGUGGAAAGUGCACACUGUGACAGUAUCGUACCAGAAAGGGACGGCUAACUACGUG